AAAAAUUUAGUUAAAAAAAUAACGUUAACUUGUCAAGUUAAAGUCAAUAUAAAAUAUUAAUUUUUA
rnacentral:tRNA from 1 species